rnacentral:rRNA from 1 species
CCUACGGGUGGCAGCAGUGGGGGAUAUUGCACAAUGGGGGAAACCCUGAUGCAGCGACGCCGCGUGGGCGAAGAAGUAUUUCGGUAUGUAAAGCUCUAUCAGCCGGGAAGAAGAAAUGACGGUACCUGAGUAAGAAGCACCGGCUAAAUACGUGCCAGCAGCCGCGGUAAUACGUAUGGUGCAAGCGUUAUCCGGAUUUACUGGGUGUAAAGGGAGCGCAGGCGGCACGGCAAGCCUGAUGGGAAAGCCCGCGGCCCAACCGGGGGACUGCCUUUGAAACUACCGGGCUGGAGUGCCGGAGAGGUAGGCGGAAUGCGUAGUGUAGCGGUGAAAUGCGUAGAUAUUAGGCGGAACACCAGUGGCGAAGGCAGCCUACUGGACGGUGACUGACGCUGAGGCACGAAAGCGUGGGGAGCAAACAGGAUUAGAUACCCGUGUAGUC